rnacentral:rRNA from 1 species
AUGCACGCUGGCGGCGUGCCUAAUACCUGCAAGUCGCGCGAACAGACGAGGAGCUUGCUCCUCUGACGUUAGCGGCGGACGGGUGAGUAACACGUGGAUAACCUACCUAUAAGACUGGGAUAACUUCGGGAAACCGGAGCUAAUACCGGAUAAUAUAUUGAACCGCAUGGUUCAAUAGUGAAAGACGGUUUUGCUGUCACUUAUAGAUGGAUCCGCGCCGCAUUAGCUAGUUGGUAAGGUAACGGCUUACCAAGGCGACGAUGCGUAGCCGACCUGAGAGGGUGAUCGGCCACACUGGAACUGAGACACGGUCCAGACUCCUACGGGAGGCAGCAGUAGGGAAUCUUCCGCAAUGGGCGAAAGCCUGACGGAGCAACGCCGCGUGAGUGAUGAAGGUCUUCGGAUCGUAAAACUCUGUUAUUAGGGAAGAACAAAUGUGUAAGUAACUAUGCACGUCUUGACGGUACCGAUCAGAAAGCCACGGCUAACUACGUG